UCUCUCAUGGGAUGUAGGCAACUUCAGUGAAUUUCAGUAGGAAUUAUACUUUGCAACUGGAGAGCAGAGCCCAUGACUGGACUGAAGCCAAUGUUCUUUAAAAGUUCACAUGCCUUGUACUGACUCUCUAAUUUAGGCUCCUUCUGACCAAGGAGAGAAAACUGGAAGAAAACUAAACAGUGGUUUCGUUUAAAGUUGGGGGGGGGAGGAACUGUUACCACCACCAACAAAAAAGAACUGUGGGUCAGCAUAACAUCAUGUAAACUGUAUUUCAUUUGUGCUUUCAUCAGAAAUGAGUAAGUAGAGCUGUAUAUGCUGCGAAUUCUAAGAAUGUUAAUGGGAUGCCUGCAUUGCAUUGUACUUAAGAGUACUUACACUAGAAUAGGAAAGCCUUUUGUUCUGUAAUUCCUUGAGGCAAGAAGAAGGCUUUCUGAAUAGUUACUUUAAUUUUAAACUCUCGUUCUAAUGUUAGACAGCCUGUUGGAUCUCCGAGUUAAAAAUUGCUUCAGCUUUACUUACUAGAGCCAGAUGUAACAUUGACCUUAAAUGGUAAAAGCUCCCGAGAGUGAAAGAGAGGCUGGCCUGAGGGGAAAAAGGGGAAUAACUGAAGUUUUAGGUAAGUAAUCUCUAUAACCAAGAAUAAGCUCUCUUUCAGCUGUGGAAUAGAACAGAACCUUAUUUCCUCCUUAAAGAUGUUUUGAAGCACAGCCAGGAAGAAUAAAGCAUUAUCCAGAGAGAGCAGCCCUCAUCUGCUUUCUGGCCAUUUGGAAAAGGCAGCUGUGGGUCAAGAAUCUGUUCCCUGAAAAUUUCCAUGCAUCUGAAGUAAUUUCUCCACUGAUGAUGACCCUUUAUUUUGUUCAUGUUUAAGGUCAGCAUGCAAGCUCUGAGGGUGAAGAAACUCUUGGAGUUCUAUAUCAAAGAUACUGCUCCUUUGCACCUGCUCUCUUAUGUGCCCUUCUAAAUUCCCUGUCAUAGGUUUAGCAUUUCCAUUAUAACACACUCAAAGUACUAGGCUCUUCCCCUGAAGACUACUCAGUGUGUCAAUACUGCUUCUGUCAGUUAAAUAAUGUGUCAUUCUUUUUCCUCCUGCUUUGACAGGUUUUAAGUAACAUCAGGUAAAUCAGCAGCAGUAAACAGAUGCUCAUAAAACAAAAGGGAGAUUGUGAUCCUGUUUAAAAAAAAAACAAACAAAACAACAGCAACAAAAAAAAAAACAACCAAACAAACAAAAAACCCCAAAAAUGAAAACACAGUGAAAAGCCAUCCCAUUCUGGCUUUAUUCAGCUUACUGUAGAAAUUUCUAUAGCACAUUAUGUUGAAGUAAACUUAGGUUAAAAAAAAAAAAAGUAACCAAGUAAGAUCUUAUUCCUUCUUGAGUGAAAAGUUCACAUUAUUUCUGUUACCGACUAUGAAGUUAUUCUGUGAUUAACUGAAAGAAAUUAACCUGUGGGUAACAUCCUGUUUUCUUUCUUUGCUUUAUCAUCUGUUUGGGAUGAGGAGUUUAUUUUGCUUAGAAAGAAUCAAACAAAACCUUUCAUCUAGAUAAUACUAAAUUUGUUUCUGUUAUAAACAGGAAGCUCUGUCUUACAGCUUUCCAACCAUCAUCUUGUUAAAUUUUUAGUGUCCUUCUUCAGCUGUGCUAUAGGGCACUAUGUUGAUCAUGACAACUCCUGAGCUUAAAAUCCACUUAUCAGUAAUAUCUGCCUUUCCAUUGGCAUUACUUAUUUGAAGCAGUUGCUGUAAUUUCUCAUUUGGGGGUUGCAUUCAGUGAGGUCAAUAGGACUCUGGUGUGUAUAAGAGAUGCAUGACAGCUAUUUGUUAUUUUGUUACUUCUUAAAAGUAUUCCAUAGCAAUUUUUUUGGUUAAAUAAUAUGUUAUGCAUUCAGUAGUUCUUAAAGUGAGUGCUGCUCCAUAAAACAAUUUUAAGUUAUUAAUUAAAAAGGAAAAAAGUGUCGGUUAUAGAUUGCCACAUGUGGAACACCAAGAAAACAUGUAACAC
ensembl:lncRNA